rnacentral:piRNA from 3 species
GAGUGGCGCAGCGGAAGCGUGCU